GACGAACGCUGGCGGCGUGCCUAAUACAUGCAAGUCGAACGAACUCUGGUAUUGAUUGGUGCUUGCAUCAUGAUUUACAUUUGAGUGAGUGGCGAACUGGUGAGUAACACGUGGGAAACCUGCCCAGAAGCGGGGGAUAACACCUGGAAACAGAUGCUAAUACCGCAUAACAACUUGGACCGCAUGGUCCGAGUUUGAAAGAUGGCUUCGGCUAUCACUUUUGGAUGGUCCCGCGGCGUAUUAGCUAGAUGGUGGGGUAACGGCUCACCAUGGCAAUGAUACGUAGCCGACCUGAGAGGGUAAUCGGCCACAUUGGGACUGAGACACGGCCCAAACUCCUACGGGAGGCAGCAGUAGGGAAUCUUCCACAAUGGACGAAAGUCUGAUGGAGCAACGCCGCGUGAGUGAAGAAGGGUUUCGGCUCGUAAAACUCUGUUGUUAAAGAAGAACAUAUCUGAGAGUAACUGUUCAGGUAUUGACGGUAUUUAACCAGAAAGCCACGGCUAACUACGUGCCAGCAGCCGCGGUAAUACGUAGGUGGCAAGCGUUGUCCGGAUUUAUUGGGCGUAAAGCGAGCGCAGGCGGUUUUUUAAGUCUGAUGUGAAAGCCUUCGGCUCAACCGAAGAAGUGCAUCGGAAACUGGGAAACUUGAGUGCAGAAGAGGACAGUGGAACUCCAUGUGUAGCGGUGAAAUGCGUAGAUAUAUGGAAGAACACCAGUGGCGAAGGCGGCUGUCUGGUCUGUAACUGACGCUGAGGCUCGAAAGUAUGGGUAGCAAACAGGAUUAGAUACCCUGGUAGUCCAUACCGUAGACGAUGAAUGCUAAGUGUUGGAGGGUUUCCGCCCUUCAGUGCUGCAGCUAACGCAUUAAGCAUUCCGCCUGGGGAGUACGGCCGCAAGGCUGAAACUCAAAGGAAUUGACGGGGGCCCGCACAAGCGGUGGAGCAUGUGGUUUAAUUCGAAGCUACGCGAAGAACCUUACCAGGUCUUGACAUACUUAUGCAAAUCUAAGAGAUUAGACGUUCCCUUCGGGGACAUGGAUACAGGUGGUGCAUGGUUGUCGUCAGCUCGUGUCGUGAGAUGUUGGGUUAAGUCCCGCAACGAGCGCAACCCUUAUUAUCAGUUGCCAGCAUUAAGUUGGGCACUCUGGUGAGACUGCCGGUGACAAACCGGAGGAAGGUGGGGAUGACGUCAAAUCAUCAUGCCCCUUAUGACCUGGGCUACACACGUGCUACAAUGGAUGGUACAACGAGUUGCGAACUCGCGAGAGUAAGCUAAUCUCUUAAAGCCAUUCUCAGUUCGGAUUGUAGGCUGCAACUCGCCUACAUGAAGUCGGAAUCGCUAGUAAUCGCGGAUCAGCAUGCCGCGGUGAAUACGUUCCCGGGCCUUGUACACACCGCCCGUCACACCAUGAGAGUUUGUAACACCCAAAGUCGGUGGGGUAACCUUUUAGGAACCAGCCGCCUAAGGUGGGACAGAUGAUUAGGGUG
rnacentral:rRNA from 1 species